GUCUUGGAAGUGAUUAAUCAUUUUUGGUUUCGGCCCAUUAGAUAACAGGCAUAAAUUCUGUUUCAAGACU
rnacentral:tRNA from 1 species